UUAGAUACCCUGGUAGUCCACGCAGUAAACGAUGAAUGCUGGUUGUCCGGGUCGAAUGAGAUCUGGGCGGCGAAGCGAAAGCGAUAAGCAUUCCACCUGGGGAGUACGCCGGCAACGGUGAAACUCAAAGGAAUUGACGGGGGCCCGCACAAGCGGAGGAACAUGUGGUUUAAUUCGAUGAUACGCGAGGAACCUUACCCGGGCUCAAACGGGAGCGGAAUGGACCAGAGACGGUUCAGCCUACGGGCCGCUUCCGAGGUGCUGCAUGGUUGUCGUCAGCUCGUGCCGUGAGGUGUCGGCUUAAGUGCCAUAACGAGCGCAACCCCCGCCGGCAGUUGCUAACGGGCAAUGCCGAGGACUCUGCCGGGACUGCCGCCGCAAGGCGAGAGGAAGGCGGGGAUGACGUCAAAUCAGCACGGCCCUUACGUCCGGGGCGACACACGUGUUACAAUGGGCGGUACAGCGGGAAGCCAGGCGGCGACGCCGAGCGGAACCCGAAAGCCGUUCUCAGUUCGGAUCGGAGUCUGCAACCCGACUCCGUGAAGCUGGAUUCGCUAGUAAUCGCGCAUCAGCCUGGGCGCGGUGAAUACGUUCCCGGGCCUUGUCACACCGCCCGUCAACCAUGGAGCCCGGGGGUGUUGAAAUGCGUCCCCGCGAGGCGCGCCCUAAACAAAACCGUGACUGGGGCUAAGUCUAACAGGUAACCCGAUUUCAACCACUGGGCGCCGUU
rnacentral:rRNA from 1 species